rnacentral:rRNA from 1 species
AUACGGAGGGAGCAAGCGUUAUUCGGAAUCACUGGGCGUAAAGGACGCGUAGGCGGGUUUGUAAGUCAGGUGUGAAAUCCUACAGCUCAACUGUAGAACUGCACUUGAAACUACAGACCUAGAGUAUGGAAGGGGCAGAUGGAAUUAGUGGUGUAGGGGUAAAAUCCGUAGAUAUCACUAGGAAUACCGAAAGCGAAGGCGAUCUGCUGGGACAUUACUGACGCUGAGGCGUGAAAGCGUGGGGAGCAAACAGGAUUAGAAACCCCUAGUAGUCC